GAUGAACGCUGGCGGCGUGCCUAAUACAUGCAAGUCGAGCGAACAGACGAGGAGCUUGCUCCUCUGACGUUAGCGGCGGACGGGUGAGUAACACGUGGAUAACCUACCUAUAAGACUGGGAUAACUUCGGGAAACCGGAGCUAAUACCGGAUAAUAUAUUGAACCGCAUGGUUCAAUAGUGAAAGACGGUUUUGCUGUCACUUAUAGAUGGAUCCGCGCCGCAUUAGCUAGUUGGUAAGGUAACGGCUUACCACGGCGACGAUGCGUAGCCGACCUGAGAGGGUGGUCGGCCACACUGGAGCUGGGACACGGUCCAGACGCCUGCGAGAGGCAGCAGUAGGGAAUCGUCCGCAAUAGGCGAAAGCCUGACGGAGCAACGCCGCGUGAGUGAUGAAGGUCUUCGGAUCGUAAAACUCUGUUAUUAGGGAAGAACAAAUGUGUAAGUAACUAUGCACGUCUUGACGGUACCUAAUCAGAAAGCCACGGCUAACUACGUG
rnacentral:rRNA from 1 species